CAGAUUCUCUUUCCCGUAUCGGACGUUAAUUCAAGUACCCACUUACGAGGCUGCUACGGUUUUGCGGCCGGAGGGUUUUCGUCCACGAUGGUGCCUGAUCGAGGACUGUCGCUUUUAGCGAUGUCGUCUUUUCACACGUCACA
rnacentral:lncRNA from 1 species